rnacentral:rRNA from 1 species
UGGGGAAUAUUGGACAAUGGGCGAAAGCCUGAUCCAGCCAUGCCGCGUGUGCGAAGAAGGUCUUCGGAUUGUAAAGCACUUUAAGUUGGGAGGAAGGGCAGUAAGCGAAUACCUUGCUGUUUUGACGUUACCGACAGAAUAAGCACCGGCUAACUCUGUGCCAGCAGCCGCGGUAAUACAGAGGGUGCAAGCGUUAAUCGGAAUUACUGGGCGUAAAGCGCGCGUAGGUGGUUCGUUAAGUUGAAUGUGAAAGCCCCGGGCUCAACCUGGGAACUGCAUCCAAAACUGGCGAGCUAGAGUAGGGCAGAGGGUGGUGGAAUUUCCUGUUUAGCGGUGAAAUGCGUAGAUAUAGGAAGGAACACCAGUUGCGAAGGCGACCACCUGGGCUCAUACUGACACUGAGGUGCGUAAGCGUGGGGAGCAAACAGG